rnacentral:rRNA from 1 species
CCGUCCGAAAGGAUGGCUAAUACCGCAUGAGACCUGAGGGUGAAAGCCGGGGACCGCAAGGCCCGGCGCAGACGGAGCGGCCGAUGAUUGAUUAGUUAGUUGGGGAGGUAAAGGCUCACCAAGGCGACGAUCAAUAGCUGGUCUGAGAGGACGACCAGCCACACUGGAACUGAGACACGGUCCAGACUCCUACGGGAGGCAGCAGUGGGGAAUUUUGGACAAUGGGGGCAACCCUGAUCCAGCCAUGCCGCGUGCGGGAAGAAGGCCUUCGGGUUGUAAACCGCUUUUGUCAGGGACGAAAAGCUCCGGAGUAAUAUGCCGGAGUGCUGACGGUACCUGAAGAAUAAGCACCGGCUAACUACGUGCCAGCAGCCGCGGUAAUACGUAGGGUGCGAGCGUUAAUCGGAAUUACUGGGCGUAAAGCGUGCGCAGGCGGUUGGGUAAGACAGAUGUGAAAUCCCCGGGCUUAACCUGGGAACUGCAUUUGUGACUGUCCGACUGGAGUACGUCAGAGGGGGGUGGAAUUCCACGUGUAGCAGUGAAAUGCGUAGAUAUGUGGAAGAACACCGAUGGCGAAGGCAGCCCCCUGGGACGCAACUGACGCUCAUGCACGAAAGCGUGGGGAGCAAACAGGAUUAGAUACCCUGGUAGUCCACGCCCUAAACGAUGUCUGCUGGUUGUUGGGAAUUUAAUUCUCAGUAACGAAGCCAACGUCGGAAGCAGACCGCCUGGG